UCCUAUCCUCAGUUCUUCUCUCUUUCACUCUCAAUGUAUUUCUCCCUCUCCCUCUCUCCCCAGAAAUACACGGAUUGAGUGUCUUUCUCUUCUUCUGUGCUCCUGCCUCCAAUUAAAUGCGUAGGUGUUUUAUCCUAUGAUUAGUAUCUUGGUUGUUCAGUGGGCAGGCUCAUUAUCUAUGCGCCCUGUUAGUAAAAGCCUUAACGAUGCCUAACGAGACGUCUAAUCAGACUGGUUUUAGCCACAAAGGGCUAAUUGCAGCUGUUGCUUCUGUCCUCUGUCGAGGCUGAGAGAGGCGACGGGUAAACCUGUUUGGAUUGUUGGGUAAUUCUAAACAUGCACACGCGUGCACAUAAUAAAAAUAUUAAUGUGCACAGUUAUUAUUGGUUGUUUCAGUGUGAUGUGUGUGUGCGUUUCACAGAGGGGAGUCUGUCUGUGGCUACUUGUCAUCACAGAGCUGCAGGUUUGACAUGACGAGAUGACGAAAAUGCUGGAGAGUGCCUCAGCCCAGCUCUCCUGAGGCUCUCCUGGAGUGUAUUUAAUUUGUCCUGCCUGAGAGCGCUUAUCAGAUGGCAUCUCUUCCUGUGUGUGUUUGUGUGCGUGUGUGUGCAUGUGCGGCGGACUUCAGUGGGUCCUCUUUUGUUCAGUUCAGUAAGUAUGUCUAUGUGCGUGUUGACCUGAUAAUCUGUGUGCUUUAUGGAGUGCUGUUCACACAUUGGUCUCCACUCUGAUCCCAAACCCAAACACAGCCCCCACCUCCCCCCUCCUUUAUCAACCCACACACACACACACACACACACAGCCAUAGCAUCCCUCCACCAUGUGAUUACCAAAUCACUCUUUUUGUCCAUCCUACUUUUUUGGUGAGACAGUGCUUAGGCUGAACACACAGGAGAAAACUAAAUAAUUCUGUGCUUAAAAUAAAUUGUAAAAGUGUAUUUAUUACCAACACGUUGGGCCACGAAUAAAUGGAUUUAUGAUGAAGCAUCAUCCAACUUA